UACGGGGGGGGCAAGCGUUGUUCGGAAUUACUGGGCGUAAAGGGCUCGUAGGCGGCCAACUAAGUCAGACGUGAAAUCCCUCAGCUUAACUGGGGAACUGCGUCUGAGACUGGUGGGCUUGAGUGCAGGAGAGGAACGCGGAAUUCCAGGUGUAGCGGUGAAAUGCGUAGAUAUCUGGAGGAACACCGGUGGCGAAGGCGGCGUUCUGGACUGCUACUGACACUGAGGAACGAAAGCCAGGGGAGCAAACGGG
rnacentral:rRNA from 1 species